rnacentral:rRNA from 1 species
CCUACGAGUGGCAGCAGUAGGGAAUUUUCGGCAAUGGGGGGAACCCUGACCGAGCAACGCCGCGUGAAGGAAGAAGGAAUUCGUUCUGUAACCUUCUGUUAUAAAGGAAGAAAGACGGAUGGAGGAAAUGACAUCCGAGUGACGGUACUUGAUGAGAAAGCCACGGCUAACUACGUGACAGCAGGCGCGGUAAUACGCAGGUGGCAAGCGUUAUCCGGAAUUAGUGGGCGUAAAGAGGGAGCAGGCGGCAGCAAAGGUCUGGGGUGAAAGACUGAAACUUAACUUCAGUAAGCCAUAGAAACCGGGCAGCUAGAGGGCAGGAGAGGAUCGUGGAAUUCCAUGUGUAGCGGUGAAAUGCGUAGAUAUAUGGAGGAACACCAGUGGCGAAGGCGACGAUCUGGCCUGCAACUGACGCUCAGUCCCGAAAGCGUGGGGAGCAAAUAGGAUUAGAUACCCGGGUAGUC